UUUUUUUUUUUUAAAUUGCCUUUUUUUCCAUUUUGGCAAAAAUGUGAUGCCAGAUUGUCGAGUGGAAUACGCGGCUGUGAAAUUUUGUUUCUCGUUAGGGAAAUUGGCUGUGGAAACUAUUUUAGUGCUUAAGCCGGCCUACGGGGCUGCUGCCCUUAGUAAAACCAGAGUCUAAGAGUGGAUUUCAAGUUUUAAAAAUGGAGAAAUGCCAAUUGAAUACCGACCCAUCCAGGAUGCCCCCUCAAUGUCAAGAAGUGACUAAAACGUUAAGUCAGUGCCCUCAUUUGUGAAGACCGUUACCGAACGAGUGAUAGACUCUGUGAGAUGUCUGGAAUGUGACGGAGUUCAGUUCGGGGGGUUUUAUUCGAAGAUUUGCGUAUGAGAAUGGUUGCAGCCAAAUUUGUCCUCGCCUUCUCACAGACGAUCAAAGGGAGUGUGAACUUCGGGCGUGUUUUGAGCUUCAGAAUCGGCUCAAAGAGGACCCUGAAUUUUUCCGAGGUGAUUACUGGUGGUGAAUUGUGGUGUUACGUCUGUGCCCUGAAACAAAGCAGCAGUCGAGACAGUGGAUGAGGAGCGGCUCUCCUCGUCCCUAAACGGGUCACGAGUGAAGUCAGACACGGAGCAGAGGUGUUGUGCCCAUAAGUUAGUUCUCCCUGGUCAAACUGUCAAGAGCAUUUCUACUCAGAAGUUUUGAAAAACUGACGGAGAGUAUCCGGAAGAAAACGGCAACUCUUCGGCGCACAGGCGACUGGUUCUUCCAUGACGACGUGCCGGCCUACACUGCGCUCUCCGCAAACCAGUUUUUGACCGAAAAUGGCAUAGCACUUAUUGUGUUCCCCUGCCCUGCAACCCCCCCCCCCCCCCCUCCUCCCCAGUACUCACUGGAUGUUGUUUUGUUCCCCAGGCUCAAAACGGACAUGAAAGGAAGCUGUUUUGCUGCUGUGGAGGAGCUAAAACAAAAAUCACUUGUAGUCAUAAAGAACAUCCUGAUAAGUGAGUUUAAAAACCAUUUUCAACAAUGAAAGGAUCGUUUGGGGGAGUGUGUGUGGUCAGUGGAGAAUACUUCGAAUCCGAUCAAAAUGUCGUGUAAAAAUAGUAAGAAAUAAAGACGUUACAACAAAUUUCCCAAUGUUGUGACGAAUUUCUCGUGGUGGUUUUUCUUUUUCUUCCCGCCCCCCUUUUCUGACCCCCUGCCCCCCUCCUCCCCCUCAUAAAGUAGUAGCACUUUGUGCUCGGUACUUGCCAAUACUAUCCCCAGUACAUUAUUUUUCCUCUGGUAGGUGCCGAAAUGUAAUGUGGGUCUUAAACACUCGGCUCGGACACUAAAAUUGGAGGAGGAUUUGCCGACAAAUUUUGAAGAGAAACCGCCACCGGCAAUUGGCAGGUGGCACAGGUGCUGUACACGGGUAAGGGUGCUGCACGACGUGUUGUCCGUGAAUUUGUACCGUCUACUAAAAGUCCAGGCAUUACAGCCAGAAGACUAGCCACGACGGAUGAAAUUCGUGCAAUGGUAUUUUUCAACAAUGCAUACUCCGGCCACAAUUCCUGAGCUUGGUACCAUUUCUAGAUGAAAGCACAUUUCCUAGGUAUGGCAUAUUAAGCCUAAACAACAUGCACUUUUGAGCAGAUGAAAAUCCAUAUGCACACGGUUCAAAAUCGUCAACACAGGGUCAGUAUUACCGUGGGGCCACAACUACUGCCAGACUAAGAGGACCGGUCUACCUCACAUAAAGUAGAGAUGUGUUGUCUACCCUAUCGGAUGUAGUGCCACUAAAUCUUCGUGGCUGUCAUACGCCAGAGCUCCGGCACACUUAGAUGCCGACGUGCAGAAUCACCCAAAUAUCGCGUACUCUUAUUGACGGAUCUGUAGGGGUGAACCGUUCCGUAGCCAGCACAGUAGGCAGAUCUGAAACCUUUAGACUAGUUUUUGUUAGGUAAUAUGAAGAGUACGGUGUACAGUGCACGUGUAAUGUGGAGGACCUUAUUGCUGGAGUGCAGAGCGACUAAAAUACUCGAAAGACAACCGUCCGUACGGGCUCGUGUGCGUGAGGCUCAGCCCGCCAAUGUACACUCUGCAUUGACGUAGGAGGUACACAGUGCAAACCCUGUUUCUAAUGUAGAGAGCAUGACGUGCUACUCAUGUUGGACCGAUUGACGUAACUGGAACACGUACCCGUCUCAGUUUUAGACACUCUCCAGCACCCGAGCCGUGUGUUACUGGAUAUGGGUUCCUUCUUGAAAACCGAUCAUUGUGCCUUCCUGCACAACAUACUAAGUGUUAUCUAUGUUUUUGGGACACCCUGUAUAUGUUAAGAAAAUGCACAGUUCGAUCAUUGAUCAUUGUGGCUAUUGGCAUCGCAGAGCCCAGAACAAUUAAAUUGUCCAGGGUGCUGUUCAGUGUGUGUCUCGGGGACGGCACAUACUUUAAGAAAAUGCUCGAUUUUGUCAUCAUGGCUGUUGGCAUAAUGGAGUCCAGAAUCCAGGAUGCUGUUUUGUGAAAUCCCUCGUGGUGGUAGCUCUGAAGUCCUCCUCGGUACUCUGUGCAGUGUCGGUAGCUCUUUGCACACCUGCUGCGACGUAGGCACUUCUGCCGAUAAACUCCAACUGCCGCACACUGUCAGAGGCGUACUUCAAACAAAUAAUAAACUGCAAAACAGUUUUGGACUAAAACAGGAUAUUGUUGGUUAGCGGUACGGCCAGUGUGGAGACGGGAAAUGGUGCGGUCACUCUGGCCACUGCAGCAAUACGAACCGUCCGCAGUGACUUCUCGCCCGGCCUCAAACGUGUCGGAGAGUGGCAACUGACUAGGAACCCAGCCGCUUGGUGCCUGAGGCAGACUGACUGACUUCACUGUGUCCAAAGUACUGUAGUGGGAAGCAUCAGCUAUUUGUGUUAAGGGUGGAUCUGAAUUUAUGUAUCCAUAUUUAUCUUUGAAAUAAAGUCUUACGCAACUGCUCA